rnacentral:rRNA from 1 species
UGACCUCGGAUCAGGUAGGAAUACCCCGUGAACUUAAGCAUAUCAAUAAGCGGAGGA